rnacentral:rRNA from 1 species
CUAACCAGGAUUCCCCUAGUAACGGCGAGUGAAGAGGGAAGAGCCCAGCACCGAAGCCUGCGGUAGGUUUACUGUUAGGCAAUGUGGUGUUUGGGUCGGCUCGUUGGAUUGCCACUCCACUCGAAGUCCAGCAUUGAGUAUGGUCUACUGGAUUUGGCCCAGAGAGGGUGAAAGGCCCGUACGGGUGGAGGUAUCAGACAAGUGAGGCAGUUCACCAGGCCGGCCUUAGAGUCGGGUUGUUUGGGAAUGCAGCCCAAAGCGGGUGGUAAACUCCAUCCAAGGCUAAAUACUAGCACGAGUCCGAUAGCAAA